rnacentral:lncRNA from 1 species
UUUUUUGCUACUUGAUCCUUAGGAUGUCUAGAAUUUAAUGAUGAUAAAUUUUGAAGUUGUGCUUGGAUGGAUUUUGAUUUGUGUUAGAAUAUGUGAACAUGUGUACAUUUAUGACCUUGCUCCAUUCAUCUUAUCAUGAAAUGCUUGAUUUUAAUCCAAUGGACAUGAAAUUUUACAUGCUGAUUCAUGACACAUUGAUGGAUGUUUAAGGCCUGGUUUGGUAUUUUUCUCAUUUACCAUUUCUAUUUUAUGCAUGUGUUUACAUGUGUAACACCCCAAAAUUUU